GCCAUGUGCAGCAGGGCAUUCCUGUAGUCCCAGCUACUCGGGAGGCUGAGGCAGGAGGAUUGCUUGACCCAGGAGUUCUGGGCUGUAGUGCACUGCACCAAUCAAGUGUCUGCACUAAGUUCAGCAUCAAUAUGGUGACCUCUUGAGAGCAGGAUGACCAAGUUGUCCAAAGAGGGAUGAACUGGCCCAGGUCAGAAAUGGAGCAGGUCAAAACUCCUGUGCUGAUCAGUAGGGAGAUCGUGCGUAUGAAUAGCCACUGCACUCCAGCCUGGGCAACAUAGUGAGACCUGUC
rnacentral:SRP_RNA from 10 species